rnacentral:rRNA from 1 species
CGGCGUGGAUAAGACAUGCAAGUCGAACGGGGUGCCUGUAGCAAUAUGGGCAUUCAGUGGCGGACGGGUGCGUAACACGUGGGCAAUUUGCCCGGAAGAGGGGGAUAGCCCGCCGAAAGGCGGAUUAAUACCGCAUGUGACCUGGGAGCAUUUCCUGGGAGUUAAAGGAGUGAUCCGCUUCCGGAUGAGCCCGCGGCCUAUCAGCUAGUUGGUGAGGUAACGGCUUACCAAGGCUACGACGGGUAGCUGGUCUUAGAGGACGACCAGCCACACUGGAACUGAGACACGGUCCAGACACCUACGGGUGGCAGCAGUCGAGAAUCUUUCACAAUGGGGAAACCCUGAUGGAGCGACGCCGCGUGGAGGAUGAAGGUCUUCGGAUUGUAAACCCCUGUCAUGAGGGAACAAAGCCCGCGAGGGUGUGAUAGUACUUCAAGAGGAAGGGACGGCUAACUUCGUG